rnacentral:lncRNA from 1 species
AUGAAUCCGCAAUGUUUUGGGAUCAACAUCUACCUGACACAGGCAGAGAGGUCUGAGCAUGACAGCCUCCUUGGCCAACACAGGCAGCAUCCUGAGCCCGCUGGUGAGCACGGCCUCAGAGGUUUACCCUUCCCUGCCUCUCUGCAUCUCUGGAGCUGCCUGUCCCAUCACUGUCCUCCUGCCGGAGACUCUGGGGCAGCCACUGCCCAACACAGUGCAGGACCUGGAGAGAAGGUAGGCUGCCCCCUCUCCCCACCGCCCAGAGCUAUAAGGAGCUCCCAGCUUCUUGAUUCAGCCCCAUUUGCCAAAAAAAAAAAAAAAAGGCCAGACCUGGAGUUUCCAUCUCGGCUCAGUGGUAACGAACCUGACUAGUAUCCAUGAGGACGCAGGUUCGAUCCCUGGCCCCACUCAGUGGGUUAAGGAUCCGGCAUUGCUGUGGCUGUGGCAUAGGCUGGCAGCUACAGUUCUGACUGGACCCUUAGCCUUGGAACUUCCAUAUGCUGCAGGUGCGGCCCUAAAAAGACAGGGACUAACCAGUGGUCAUUCAGUUGGACUCUGGUGGAGCCAAGGCCAGAAUCAAGGCCUCCUGCCUCCUGAGGCUCCUGGUCCCGUUCUCACAGAUAAGUGGAGUCCCCCAGAAUCCUUUCUGGGACUCUCAGCUCUUGGAAACAGCGAGGGAUUUGGAAUAAAGCGGGACCGCCGAGCA